rnacentral:rRNA from 1 species
AGUGAACGCUGGCGGUAGGCCUAACUCAUGCAAGUCGAACGGCAGCACAGGAGAGCUUGCUCUCUGGGUGGCGAGUGGCGGACGGGUGAGGAAUACAUCGGAAUCUACUCUGUCGUGGGGGAUAACGUAGGGAAACUUACGCUAAUACCGCAUACGACCUACGGGUGAAAGCAGGGGACCUUCGGGCCUUGCGCGAUUGAAUGAGCCGAUGUCGGAUUAGCUAGUUGGCGGGGUAAAGGCCCACCAAGGCGACGAUCCGUAGCUGGUCUGAGAGGAUGAUCAGCCACACUGGAACUGAGACACGGUCCAGACUCCUACGGGAGGCAGCAGUGGGGAAUAUUGGACAAUGGGCGUAAGCCUGAUCCAGCCAUACCGCGUGGGUGAAGAAGGCCUUCGGGUUGUAAAGCCCUUUUGUUGGGAAAGAAAUCCAGCUGGCUAAUACCCGGUUGGGAUGACGGUACCCAAAGAAUAAGCACCGGCUAACUUCGUGCCAGCCGCCGCCGUAA